rnacentral:rRNA from 1 species
UACGUAGGGUGCGAGCGUUAAUCGGAAUUACUGGGCGUAAAGGGUGCGCAGGCGGCGUCGCAAGUCAGGCGUGAAAUCCCCGGGCUUAACCUGGGAACUGCACUUGAAACUACGAUGCUGGAGUAUGGCAGAGGGAGGUGGAAUUCCACGUGUAGCGGUGAAAUGCGCAGAUAUCGGGAGGAACACCAAUGGCGAAGGCAGCUCGCUGGGACGGUACUGACGCUGAGACGGCGAAAGCGUGGGGAGCAAACAGG